rnacentral:rRNA from 1 species
UACAGAGGUCCCGAGCGUUGUUCGGAUUCACUGGGCGUAAAGGGUGCGUAGGUGGCGAGGUAAGUCGGAUGUGAAAGCUCGGAGCUCAACUCCGAAAUGGCAUUGGAAACUACCUUGCUCGAGGGUUGGAGGGGGGACUGGAAUGCUUGGUGUAGCAGUGAAAUGCGUAGAUAUCAAGCGGAACAUCAGUGGCGAAGGCGAGUCCCUGGACAACUCCUGACACUGAGGCACGAAAGCUAGGGGAGCAAACAGG